rnacentral:lncRNA from 1 species
GAAGAGUUGAAAUUCUGACUACUAUAUAUCUGGUAUACCACCUCCAGUAGAAGGGCUACUGGUCCUACCAGGCUGUGGUUGUCCUCCGCUUCAGAAGACGGGUUGAACUCCAGCAAGAGCUCUGAUCCAUUCAGGAGGUCCACAGCUUUGGGUUCUGCUGCCUUGGCUGGAUCUACUACAGUGGCUGAGUCCUGGUCCAUAGCUAUAGGCUCCGUCUCUGCCGCCACCUUGGGAUCCACAGCCAUGGUUUCUGCCGUCUCCGCUUCCUUCUGAUCAGCCACCAUGGUCUCAGCCUCGGUUUCCAAAGUUGGUUCCUGUGGGCUCUGAAGCCUCAACACCAACCCCUGGAGAAUUCCCAUUAGGACACUGAGCGCCAGCAGCCCUGUGUUUUUAGACAACUGUGGAGAGACAGGAGGAGGCUACGCGUUAGGAGAGAGAGAGACGGGAGGAGGCUACGCGUUAGGAGAGAGAGAGACGGGAGGCGGCUACGCGUUAGGAGAGAGAGAGACGGGAGGCGGCUACGCGUUAGGAGAGAGAGAGACGGGAGGCGGCUACGCGUUAGGAGAGAGAGAGACGGGAGGCGGCUACGCGUUAGGAGAGAGAGACGGGAGGCGGCUACGCGUUAGGAGAGAGAGAGACGGGAGGCGGCUACGCGUUAGGGAGAGAGAGACGGGAGGCGGCUACGCGUUAGGAGAGAGAGAGACGGGAGGACUACACGCGUUAGGAGAGAGAGAGACGGGAGGCUGCUACGCGUUAGGAGAGGUGGAGAGACGGGAGGCGGCUACGCGUUAGGAGAGAGAGAGACGGGAGGCGGCUACGCGUUAGGAGAGGUGGAGAGACGGGAGGCUACGCGUUAGGAGAGAGAGAGACGGGAGGAGGCUACGCGUUAGGAGAGAGAGAGACGGGAGGAGGCUACGCGUUAGGAGAGAGAGAGACGG